AAAAGGCCUAGACAAAUGGCCAAAGUCUUAACCGAAAUAAAUUAAAGAAAAACAAUUGACCGGCCGCGGCUUGAGAUGUCCGAAUCAGAACUCAUAGUUUUCUUGCAUGUUGCCUCAUUAAAACCUUUCGGGAAAACCCAGUGGGACAAAACCCGAUAAGGAAAAAGUGUACAACACAUACUACUCCUUCUGAUGGACGGCUAUAUCUCUGAACCAGAAGCAAGUUGGUUGGAUGGAUUGAGGAUGAAGGUGGAAAUGGUCAGGCCGGCUUCAUUCUGGUCGAUGGAGGAGAACUGGCUUGAAUGGAAGGAGUCUGGAACCUCUAAUGGUUUGCUGGUGUCUUCAAUCUUUAAGUCGGCCAACUCCUGGAUCAAUAGUUGCUUGAAUCCGGUUUGUUCCUGUGCAAGCAACUCCUGGACAGCUUUGGCAAAUCCAGCUCUUAUAACCCUUGAGCCGGACCUUGUGGUAGGACCUUUGCGGAUGAUGGGAACCUCAGUCGUGGAUACUACAACACACCCGCGGUAAUUCCAGCUCCAAUAGCGUAUAUUUAAGUUGUUGCAGUUAAAAAGCUCAUAGUUGAACCUUGGGAUGGGUCGCCCGGUCCGCCUUCGGUGAGCACCGGUCGGCUUGUCUCUUCUGUCGGCGAUAUGCUCCUUUCCUUAACUGGCCAGGUCGUGCCUUUGGCGCUGUUACUUUGAAGAUAUUAGAGUGCUCAAAGCAAGCCUACGCUCUGUAUACAUUAGCAUUGGAUAACAUCAUAGGAUUUCGAUCCUAUUCUGUUGGCCUUCGGGAUCGGAGUAAUGAUUAACAGGGACAGUCAUAUUUCAUAGUCAGAGGUGAAAUUCUUGGAUAUAUGAAAGACGAACAACUGCGAAAGCAUUUGCCAAGGAUGUUUUCAUUAAUUAAGAACGAAAGUUGGGGGCUCGAAGACGAUCAGAUACUGUCCUAGUCUCAACCAUAAACGAUGCCGACCAGGGAUCAGCGGAUGUUGCUUUUAGGACUCCGCUGGCACCUUAUGAGAAAUUAAAGUUUUUGGGUUCCGGGGGAGUAUGGUCGCAAGGCUGAAACUUAAAGGAAUUGACGUUAGGGCACCACCAGGAGUGGAGCCUGCGGCUUAAUUUGACUCAACACGGGGAAACUUACCAGGUCCAGACAUAGUAAGGAUUGACAGACUGAGAGCUCUUUCUUGAUUCUAUGGGUGGUGGUGCAUGGGCGUUCUUAGUUGGUGAAGCGAUUUAUCUGGUUAAUUCCAUUAACGAACGAGACCUCAGCCUGCUAACUAGCUACGUGGAGGCAUCCCUUCACGGCCGGCUUCUUAGAGGGACUAUGGCCGUUUAGGCCAAGGAAGUUUGAGGCAAUAACAGGUCUGUGAUGCCCUUUGAUGUUCUGGGCCGCAGGCGCACUACACUGAUGUAUUCAACGAGUUCACACCUUGGCCGACAGGCCCGGGUAAUCUUUGAAAUUUCAUCGUGAUGGGGAUAGAUGAUUGCAAUUGUUGGUCUUCAACGAGGAAUUCCUAGUAAGCGCGAGUCAUCAGCUCGCGUUGACUACGUCCCUGCCCUUUGUACACACCGCCCGUCUCUCCUACCGAUUGAAUGAUCCAGUGAGGUAUUCGGAUCACGGCGAAGUGGGUGGUUUUCCGUCUGCGACGUCGCGAGAAGUCCACUAAACCUUAUGAUUUAGAGGAAUGAGAAGUCGAAACAAGGUUUCCGUAGGUGAACCUGCGGAAG
rnacentral:rRNA from 1 species